UGAUGCGUCAAAAAUUCUCGACAUGCCGCCGCUCUCCAAUCAUGAUUCGCGCCAUAACAAUCAAAAUUGAUACUGCGAUGACGAGGCCGCGCACGUGCCAGUUACGCGAUUUAAAAUGGAUGGAUAACGCGGUCCCUUCGCCGUUCCUUAUGAGUAACGAGAUUCCAUGGUAGUUACAAUUAUGGAAAGCACCGCCACCGCCAUAAUUUUGGGCUUGGUCCUGAUGUUACCGCUGCUCAUACAACUGCAGAUGCUUGUCACACGUCCUAGGAAGUUACUAGAAACGCUUCUUCGGUGCCACUUGACGGAGAGUACGCGCGACAUCCGCCGCAGCAAGCGCAACCUAGUGCAGCACUAUCCCAAGUUGCCGGACCUGUUAAAUUCCAAUUCGGAAUCCAGGAUGGUGGUGUGCUCGCCGAGGACGAUCCUCUCGUCACCCGCUAUGCCGCCACGUGUCACGUCCAACGAUACGUGCCGAUAUGAACGGUCCGUUAGAAAAACGAUACCGCUGGCACAACACUCGUCGUCCUACGUGGCGACGCAAAUCGAGCUGCCGGUGGUGGAUAUCACCUGCAACUACAACUCCUGCUGCUACAAGAGCCUCGAGGAGAACCUGAGACGGCGAUACGGCGCGAAUUAUCCGCCGGGCGAGGUGGUGCUGAAUUAUAUUCAAUUAAGCACGCCGGAUUCGCGCGUCGGGAUGGCGGACGGCGUCGGCGGAAGCGACGAUCUCCUGGACGUCUUUGAGAUGGACGACGCCGGUACAUACUCGUCGUCGGUGUCGACCAAGUUGGAGACCGAAUAUCUGAAUCUUUUGGAUCAUUUCGUGUCGAGGCAGCGAGGAAAAGCUUUGACCGCGGGCAAGUUCACCGAGACCCCGUCGUCGUCGGACGAAAGAAAUCUCGAAAUGUCGCCCCACGCUGUUACAUGGAGCCAAUCCACCCUGAAAAGUCCGGUCACUCAAGAAAAGGAAUCCGAGUCGCCUGGCAAUCAGCGUUCUUUAAAAGGUAUUGAAUACAAUCAAAGCGGCGGAGGCGGUGGCGGAGGUGGUGGUGGCGGCGGCGGUGCAAAUAGACGUCCCGACAGCUCGCAAAGAGUGCUUAAGCGACGGUGAGAGGCGUUCGAUCGAGGGAUAGACGGUAAUCCCAUCCGUGUGCGGGGCCAACCAGCUAUCUGUCAUGAAGUCGAGGAAAACACACCGGGAUGACGAGAUGAAGAAAGAAAUCUGAAGAAUUCGAUCGCGAGUGAAAGAAGUUGUUUAUAUAUAAUAUUGUUCAUAUUAUUGUGUUUGCGAUGCUUCUUUUUUUAAUCGAUCAUAACGUUUGACUCUUUUACGUGGGCAGCUAAAGAACAGCAUGUAUGUGUAUGAGAAUGCGUACUGAGGAGAUUUCUUUUUACUUCAUGUCGCUACGUCGAAUUAUUCGCGUGUUAUAGACGUUUAAGGCCGCGGAAUGACAUUAAGUUUAGUCUCGAAAUUCGCAUUGGCGCACGAUGCUUGCUCUCGCGUCGGUGCAUUAUAUUGCUUCUAAAGUGAGAUGAAUGACUGCGUGACCGCAGCGAGCAGGUGAGCGGACCUGUGCUUAUCUGAACCGCGGAGUGGGGGUAGCGAGUUGUGCCACUGUAUACCGUCGCAUACAGCGCUAGGUGACUUUCCAUUCAUACAUUCCAUUCACGCGCUGCGUCGUGACGUAUCCACAGCUCGCUGCAGCGAUAACGCCGGCCGAUCGAAAACGCAGAUUGAUACAAACGUCAAUAACUUCGCUUGUAGACGUCAUAGCGACUUGAAACAAAAAUCACUGGAAAGGAGAUAUUACUGCACUUCCGAUGAAUGUGAAAUUGUCCUUCGGUGAAAUAAGAAUAAAAUAGCGUAAGUAUACAAUUAUGAAAAACAUAGGUGUUUGUAUUGUUUAUAAACACAUAGGUGUUUAUGUUAAAAUGGACGUGAACUGUCAAUCUAUGUUAAAAGCCAAUGGGAAACCUUGGUUUGGAUUUGUAAUGUGAAGCGUCAAUUUCAUAUUUUCGACAAGUAUAAAGUACAAUUUGAGAGAAAAGCGAAAUGGUAAUAUAAUUGGAAGUUUCUACCUAGCAGCGAAUAUUUUUUGUCAUAACGUCGAAGUUGGAAUUGUUAAAAAAUUUAGCUUCGGUAACAACGAGACUAGUUGUAUCUAUUUUAAUGGCACGUUUUUGCGGUUAUAGCUAUAUUUUAACUCUUGCAGUUAAUUCUUUUCCUGUGUGAAUAUAAAACCAAAAUUUCGACCCGUGUAUAUUCACAACAACAACAUACGAUAAGAAUGAUGUAUACGGGACGCGUUACAUUCUUUUUUAUUGUGUCGGUUUACCUCCUCGAGAUUCUCAGUAGAUGACACAUUGAACAAGUGCAGGUCAAACGGCGGUGACGUGAAGUGUGCGGAAAGAUCGAUGGCUUCUUUAGAAUCGAAAGAGAAGUCUUUUGACGGAGAGUACUGUCAAAUUGACUAUGACCUAGCCUGUCUUUUAUACGCGUCGUCAACUUAUCAACUUAUUCGGUAUAUAAAAUUGCGCGUCGAAAGGAAUAGAAUAAAGAGAUAUAUCGAGAUGUUUAAUUUACUUGGCUGUAAUUUGCUCGUAAUCCAUUGAAGCCUUAUCCUUUCAUUGCAUAUAAAUUAUUUUUAUAAAAAUACUGUUAUUUGCAAUAUACAAAAAGAUAUUUUAACAAUAUACUAUAUACUAAAAUAUACUAAUAACUGUA